UACGUAGGGUGCAAGCGUUGUCCGGAAUUAUUGGGCGUAAAGAGCUCGUAGGCGGUUUGUCGCGUCUGCUGUGAAAACUGGGGGCUCAACCCCCAGCCUGCAGUGGGUACGGGCAGGCUAGAGUGCGGUAGGGGUGACUGGAAUUCCUGGUGUAGCGGUGGAAUGCGCAGAUAUCAGGAGGAACACCGAUGGCGAAGGCAGGUCACUGGGCCGCAACUGACGCUGAGGAGCGAAAGCAUGGGGAGCGAACAGG
rnacentral:rRNA from 1 species